GGAGGGCUCGCAUAGUGGCCUAGUGCGGCGGUCUUGAAAACCGCUUGGGGUGCAAGCCUCACGUGGGUUCGAAUCCCACGCCCUCCG
rnacentral:tRNA from 1 species